GUCUCGUCAGGAGUUCUCUUCAAGCACUUCAGGAUGCGUCUUUUGCAAGAACUUCCCUGAAGUGUUUGGGGGAACUCUCGGUGUUAC
rnacentral:pre_miRNA from 1 species